AAGCAUUUGAUGAAAUACUUGGAUUCCCCUUCAAGACAGUUUGGGUGAUGCACUCUUGAGUUCUGAUGCA